UGGGGAAUCUUGCACAAUGGAGGAAACUCUGAUGCAGCGACGCCGCGUGAGCGAUGAAGCCCUUCGGGGUGUAAAGCUCUUUCGUCAGGGAAGAUUAUGACGGUACCUGGAGAAGCAGCUGCGGCUAACUACGUGCCAGCAGCCGCGGUAAUACGUAGGCAGCAAGCGUUGUUCGGAGUUACUGGGCGUAAAGGGUGUGUAGGCGGCCUUCUAAGUUUGGUGUGAAAUCUCCCGGCUCAACCGGGAGGGUGCGCCGAAGACUGGGGGGCUAGAGUAUGGGAUGGGAAAGUGGAAUUCCUGGUGUAGCGGUGAAAUGCGUAGAUAUCAGGAGGAACACCUGCGGUGUAGACGGCUUUCUGGACCAUAACUGACGCUGAAACACGAAAGCGUGGGUAGCAAACAGGAUUAGAUACCCCCGUAGUCC
rnacentral:rRNA from 1 species